rnacentral:rRNA from 1 species
AAAUGCGGGAAGCAGGGUGAUCCUAUGCUGCCAAGAAAAUCUUCUAGCGAGGUUCGAGCCGCCCGUACCCCAAACCGACUCAGGUGGUUAGGUAGAGAAUACCAAGGCGAUCGAGUGAAUCGUGGUUAAGGAAUUCGGCAAAAUGCCCCCGUAACUUCGGGAGAAGGGGGGCCCAGACUCUGAAGUCACUUGCUGACUAGGGGAAAGGGCCGCAGAGACCAGGGAGAAGCGACUGUUUACUAAAAACACAGGUCCGUGCGAAGUCGCAAGACGAUGUAUACGGACUGACGCCUGCCCGGUGCUGGAAGGUUAAGAGGACGGGUUAGAUCUUCGGGUCGAAGCUCAGAAUUUAAGCCCCAGUAAACGGCGGUGGUAACUAUAACCAUCCUAAGGUAGCGAAAUUCCUUGUCGGGUAAGUUCCGACCUGCACGAAUGGCGUAACGACUUCUCCACUGUCUCAACCGCGAACUCGGCGAAAUUGCACUACGAGUAAAGAUGCUCGUUACGCGCAGCAGGACGGAAAGACCCCGGGACCUUCACUAUAGCUUGGUAUUGGUGUUCGGGACGGCUUGUGUAGGAUAGGUGGGAGACUUUGAAGCCGGCACGCCAGUGUCGGUGGAGUCAACGUUGAAAUACCACUCUGGUCGUUCUGGAUGUCUAACCUCGGUCCGUGAUCCGGAUCAGGGACAGUGCCUGGUGGGUAGUUUAACUGGGGCGGUUGCCUCCUAAAAGGUAACGGAGGCGCUCAAAGGUUCCCUCAGCCUGGUUGGCAAUCAGGUGUCGAGUGUAAGUGCACAAGGGAGCUUGACUGCGAGAGAGACAUCUCGAGCAGGGACGGAAGUCGGAACUAGUGACCCGGCGGUGGCUUGUGGAAGCGCCGUCGCUCAACGGAUAAAAGGUACCCCGGGGAUAACAGGCUGAUCUUGCCCAAGAGUCCAUAUCGACGGCAAGGUUUGGCACCUCGAUGUCGGCUCGUCGCAUCCUGGGGGUGGAGUCGCACCCAAGGGUUGGGCUGUUCGCCCAUUAAAGCGGUACGCGAGCUGGGUUUAGAACGUCGUGAGACAGUUCGGUCCCUAUCCGCUGUGCGCGUAGGAAACUUGAGAAAGGCUGACCCUAGUACGAGAGGACCGGGUUGGACGAACCUCUGGUGUGUCAGUUGUUCUGCCAAGAGCACCGCUGAUUAGCUACGUUCGGAAGUGAUAACCGCUGAAAGCAUCUAAGCGGGAAGCACGUUUCAAGAUGAGGUUUCCAUGGGGCUUGCCCCGAGAGGCUCCCGGCUAGACUACCGGGUUGAUAGGCCAGACGUGGAAGUGCAGUAAUGCAUGUAGCUGACUGGUACUAAUAAGCC